rnacentral:rRNA from 3 species
GAUACGACUCUCGGCAACGGAUAUCUCGGCUCCCGCAUCGAUGAAGAACGUAGCGAACUGCGAUACUUGGUGUGAAUUGCAGAAUCCCGUGAACCAUCGAGUCUUUGAACGCAAGUUGCGCCCGAAGCCAUCCGGCCGAGGGCACGUCUGCCUGGGCGUCACGC